UGAAAGCUAGUUGGAUGCAUCUAAAG
rnacentral:piRNA from 1 species